GGGUCAGUAGGUUGGUCGUGCCACCGGUACGUACUGGUCUCACUGAUUCCUCCUUCCUGAAGAACCGUAAUGCCAUUAAUUUGGUGUUGCGGGGAAACAGGACUGUUACUUUGAAAAAAUUAGAGUGUUUAAAGCAAGCUAACGCUUGAAUACAUUAGCAUGGAAUAAUGAAAUAGGACGAUCGAUCCUAUUUUGUAGGUUUCUAGGAUUGACGUAAUGAUUAAUAGGGAGUUGGG
rnacentral:rRNA from 1 species